rnacentral:rRNA from 1 species
AGUCUAAGUAUAAGCAAUCAUACUGUGAAACUGCGAAUGGCUCAUUAAAUCAGUUAUAAUUUAUUUGAUAGUACCUUUUCACAUGGAUAACUGUGGUAAUUCUAGAGCUAAUACAUGCUAAAAACCUCGACUUCGGAAGGGGUGUAUUUAUUAGACUAAAAACCAAUGCCCUUCGGGGCUCCUUGGUGAUUCAUGAUAACUUAUCGAAUCGCAUGGCCUUGCGCCGGCGAUGGUUCAUUCAAAUUUCUGCCCUAUCAACUUUCGAUGGUAAGAUAGAGGCUUACCAUGGUGUCGACGGGUAACGGGGAAUUAGGGUUCGAUUCCGGAGAGGGAGCCUGAGAAACGGCUACCACAUCCAAGGAAGGCAGCAGGCGCGCAAAUUACCCAAUCCCAAUCCGGGGAGGUAGUGACGAUAAAUACUGAUGCAGAGCUCUUUUGGGUUUUGCAAUUGGAAUGAGUACAAUCUAAAUCCCUUAACGAGGAACAAUUGGAGGGCAAGUCUGGUGCCAGCAGCCGCGGUAAUUCCAGCUCCAAUAGCGUAUAUUAAAGUUGUUGCGGUUAAAAAGCUCGUAGUUGAACCUUGGGUUUGGCUGGCCGGUCCGCCUCACCGCGUGUACUGGUCCGGCCGAACCUUUCCUUCUGGGGAAUCUCAUGCCCUUCACUGGGUGUGUUGGGGAACCAGGACUUUUACUUUGAAAAAAUUAGAGUGUUCAAAGCAGGCCUAUGCUCGAAUACAUUAGCAUGGAAUAAUAGAAUAGGACGGCAGUUCUAUUUUGUUGGUUUCUAGGACCGCCGUAAUGAUUAAUAGGGAUAGUCGGGGGCAUCAGUAUUGAAUUGUCAGAGGUGAAAUUCUUGGAUUUAUUCAAGACUAACUACUGCGAAAGCAUUUGCCAAGGAUGUUUUCAUUAAUCAGUGAACGAAAGUUAGGGGAUCGAAGACGAUCAGAUACCGUCGUAGUCUUAACCAUAAACUAUGCCAACUAGCGAUCGGAUGGUGUUUUAUUUUUGACCCAUUCGGCAGCUUGUGAGAAAUCAAAGUUUUCGGG